UUAGUUAAGUGAACGAUGGCGCACGGUGAAUGCCUUGGCACCAGGAGCCGACGAAGGACGGGACUAACACCGAUAUGCCCCGGUGAGUCGUAAGUAGACUGCGACCCGGGGAUUUCCGAAUGGGGCAACCCGCUGUCCGUAAUGGGGCAGUACUUGUGUCUGAAUUCAUAGGGCACAAGAGGCACACCCGGGGAACUGAAACAUCUCAGUACCCGGAGGAAGAGAAAGCAAACGCGAUUUCCCGAGUAGCGGCGAGCGAAACGGAAACAGCCCAAACCGGAAAGCUAUGCUUUCCGGGGUAGAAGGACACGCCAUGGGAGUUAUCAAGAAAUGGCUUAGACGAAUCGAUCUGGAAUGAUCAGCCGAAGAAGGUAAGAGCCCUGUAGUCGAAAAGCCAUUUCCUCCGGUGUGGAUCCUGAGUACGGCGGAACACGGGAAAUUCCGUCGGAAUCCGGGAGGACCAUCUCCCAAGGCUAAAUACUCCCUGGUGACCGAUAGUGAACCAGUACCGUGAGGGAAAGGUGAAAAGCACCCCGGAAGGGGAGUGAAACAGAACCUGAAACCGUGUGCCUGCAAGUAGUCGAAGCCCGUUAAUGGGUGACGGCGUACCUUUUGUAGAAUGGACCGGCGAGUUGCGAUUGUAUGCAAGGUUAAGUGGCAAACACGGAGCCGAAGCGAAAGCGAGUCUGAAUAGGGCCGUAAACAGUAUACGUCGCAGACCCGAAACCGUGUGAUCUACCCAUGUCCAGGGUGAAGUCAGGUAACACUGACUGGAGGCCCGAACCCACGUUAUGCUGAAAAAAUGCGGAUGAGGUGUGGGUAGGGGUGAAAUGCCAAUCGAACACGGAGAUAGCUGGUUCUCUCCGAAAUAGCUUUAGGGCUAGCCUCAGGGAGAAGCGUUCUGGAGGUAGAGCACUGAUUGGACUAGGGGCCCUCACCGGGUUACCGAAUUCAGUCAAACUCCGAAUGCCAGUAACGCAACCCUGGGAGUCAGACUAUGGGUGAUAAGGUUCAUAGUCGAAAGGGAAACAGCCCGGACCGCCAGCUAAGGUCCCUAAGUAUACGUUAAGUGGAAAAGGAUGUGGAGUUGCCCAGACAACCAGUAUGUUGGCUUAGAAGCAGCCAUCAUUUAAAGAGUGCGUAAUAGCUCACUGGUCGAGUGACUCUGCGCCGAAAAUGUACCGGGGCUAAACGUAUCACCGAAGCUGCGGAAGCAGAGGUCAGAUACCAGAGGUCGGAAGUCAGAAGUGAGGGAAGAUAGUGAUAAAACACUAUAAGGAUUUACGGAUUUAUCAACAGGCUUAUGACCUUGCAUUGAAAAUUCAUAAACUCACCUUGGAAUUUCCUGACUUUGAAAAAUAUGAACUUGGUGCUCAACUGAGAAGAGCAGCCCUUUCUAUUCCAGCAAAUAUUGCUGAAGGAUAUGGAAAGAAAGAUUCUAUUAAUGACUUCAAGCGUUUUCUUAAAAUAUCACUUGGCUCCAAUAAUGAAGUCAAGGUUAUGUUGGAUUUUGCAAGAGAUUUGACAUAUUUGGAUGAACAGAAAUACACCUAUCUUUAUCAACGGUAUGAAGAGUUUAGGUAAGCAAAUUUAUUCUCUAUACAAAAGUGGAAAUAAUCCGACUUCUGAUUUCUGGCAUCUGACCUCUGUUUGGUAGGAGAGCGUUCCAAAUGCUGUGAAGUCAGACCGUGAGGACUGGUGGAGCGUUUGGAAGUGAGAAUGCCGGUAUGAGUAGCGAAAAAAGAGUGAGAAUCUCUUUCACCGAAAGCCUAAGGUUUCCUGAGGAAGGCUCGUCCGCUCAGGGUUAGUCGGGACCUAAGCCGAGGCCGAAAGGCGUAGGCGAUGGCCAACAGGCAGAUAUUCCUGUACCACCUCGUGAGCGUUUGAACGAUGGGGGGACGCAGCAGGAUAGGGAAAGCGCACUGUCGGAAUUGUGCGCCCAAGCAGUGAGGGAGUUGGACAGGUAAAUCCGUCUGACAAUCCCAAGCUGUGACGGGGAGGGAAAUUGAGUACCGAAGUUCCUGAUUCCACACUGCCAAGAAAAGCCUCUAGUGAGUUCACAGGUGCCCGUACCGCAAACCGACACAGGUAGGCGAGGAGAGAAUCCUAAGGUGAUCGGGAGAACUCUCGUUAAGGAACUCGGCAAAAUGACCCCGUAACUUCGGGAGAAGGGGUGCUCACACCGAGUGAGCCGCAGUGAAUAGGCCCAAGCGACUGUUUACCAAAAACACAGGUCUCUGCGAAGCCGAAAGGCGAAGUAUAGGGGCUGACACCUGCCCGGUGCUGGAAGGUUAAGGACGCGUUAGCGUGCUUGUCACGGCGAAGCGCCAAAAACCGAAGCCCCAGUAAACGGCGGCGUAACUAUAACGUCCUAAGGUAGCGAAAUUCCUUGUCGGGUAAGUUCCGACCCGCACGAAAGGUGCAACGACUUGGGCACUGUCUCAACGAGAGACCCGGUGAAAUUAUACUAUGCGUGAAGAUGCGCAUUACCCGCGACUGGACGGAAAGACCCCGUGGAGCUUUACUGCACCUUGAUAUUGAAUGUUGGUACAGCUUGUACAGGAUAGGUGGGAGCCGUCGAAACGUGAGCGCCAGCUUACGUGGAGGCACCCGUGGGAUACCACCCUGGCUGUACGAACAUUCUAACCCAGGACCGUAAUCCGGUCCGGAGACAGUGUCAGGCAGGCAGUUUGACUGGGGCGGUCGCCUCCCAAAAGUAACGGAGGCGCCAAAAAGGUCCCUCAAAUGGUUGGAAAUCAUCGCCAGAGUGGCAAAGGCAGAAGGGAGCUUGACUGCGAGACCUACAAGUCGAGCAGGGACGAAAGUCGGGCUUAGUGAUCCGGUGGUCCCGCAUGGAAGGGCCAUCGCUCAACGGAUAAAAGCUACCCCGGGGAUAACAGGCUUAUCUCCCCCAAGAGUUCACAUCGACGGGGAGGUUUGGCACCUCGAUGUCGGCUCAUCGCAUCCUGGGGCUGUAGUCGGUCCCAAGGGUUGGGCUGUUCGCCCAUUAAAGCGGGUACGCGAAGCUGGGUUCAGAACGUCGUGAGACAGUUCGGUCCCUAUCCGUCGUGGGCGCUGGAAGUCUGAGAGGAGCUGUCCUUAGUACGAGAGGACCGGGAUGGACACACCGCUGGUGUACCAGUUGUUCCGCCAGGAGCACAGCUGGGUAGCUACGUGUGGCAAGGAUAAGUGCUGAAAGCAUCUAAGCAUGAAGCCCCCCUCAAGAUGAAACUUCCCAUCACUUUAAGUGAGUAAGAUCCCUCAGAGACGAUGAGGUGGAUAGGUCCGAGGUGGAAGCGUGGCGACACGUGGAGCUGACGGAUACUAAUCGAUCGAGACUUAACUAAA
rnacentral:rRNA from 1 species